rnacentral:rRNA from 1 species
AGUGAACGCUGGCGGUAGGCUUAACACAUGCAAGUCGAACGGUAGCACAGUAAGAGCUUGUUGUUACGGGUGGCGAGUGGCGGACGGGUGACGAGUACAUCGGACCCUACUUUCUCGUGGGGGAUAACGUAGGGAAGCUUACGCCAAUACCGCAUAUGACCUCCGGGUGACAGCAGGGGAUAUUCGGACCUUGCGCGAUUGAAUGAGCCGCUGUGGGAUUUGCUAGUUGGCGGGUGAAAGGCCCACCAAGGCGACGAUCCGUAGCUGGUCUGAGAGGCUGAUCAGCCACGCUGGAACUGGGCCACGGUCCAGACGCCUACGGGAGGCGACAGUGGCGAGUAUUGGACAAGGGGCGCAAGCCUGAUCCAGCCAUACCGCGUGGGAGAAGAACGCCGUCGGGGUGUAAAGCCCUUUUGUUGUGAAAGAAAAGCAGCAGGUUAAUACCCCGCUGUUCUGACGGUACCCAAAGAAUAAGCACCGGCUAACUUCGUG